UACGGAGGGUGCAAGCGUUAAUCGGAAUUAUUGGGCGUAAAGGGCGCGUAGGCGGUCAGGAAAGUCUGGGGUGAAAUACCGUGGCUCAACCACGGUGCGGCAACGGAAACUAUCUGACUAGAGGGUAGGCGGAGAAAACGGAAUUCCAAGUGUAGCGGUGAAAUGCGUAGAUAUUUGGAAGAACACCGGUGGCGAAAGCGGUUUUCUAGCUUAUUCCUGACGCUGAGGCGCGAGAGCAAGGGGAGCAAACAGG
rnacentral:rRNA from 1 species